rnacentral:rRNA from 1 species
CCGGCCUUGACAUGCCGAGAACUUUCCAGAGAGGGGAGGGUUCCUUCGGGAAGUCUGAACAGGGGGUGCAUGGGUUUUUUCAGCUUGUUUUGUGAGAUUUUGGGUUAAGUCCCCUAAAGAGCGCAACCCUUGUCCUUNGUUNCCAGCNCNUUGGGUGGGCACUUUAAGGGGACUGCCGGUGACAAACCGGAGGAAGGUGGGGAUGACGUCAAGUCAUCAUGGCCCUUUNGGCCAGGGCUACCCCCGUGCUACAAUGGUCGGUACAAAGGGUCGCCAAGCCGGGGGGGGGAGGUAAUCCCAUAAAACCGGUCUCAGUUCGGAUUGCAGUCUGCAACUCGACUGCANGAAGUCGGAAUCGCUAGUNUNG